rnacentral:misc_RNA from 1 species
UGCAGUUCCACUUUGUGCAAUAGUGCCAAGGCAGUCGACAAGUUCUUGGCGAGUCAUACCAAUUCCUGAGUCCGUUAUGGUAAUAAUGCCAUUAUCUUUGUCGGUUUGGAUGCGAAUAUCAAGAUCAACUGCAUCCUUCAAAAGCUCAGGCUCAGUAACACCAAGAAACCUCAACUUGUCCAAGGCAUCACUCGCAUUACUGAUAAGCUCCCUAAGAAAAACCUCCUUGUUGCUGUACAAACUGUUAACAAUAAGGUCCAUGAGGCGACUGACCUCUGCUUGAUACUCAAACUUCUCAGAUGGUGAGUCAGAUGUAUCAGAUGCCGCAGCUGUUGACUCAAAUCGACAACCCAAAAAAGGCUCAUUUCUUGAUUUAAAUGGCUUAGCGGAUUCAAUGACAUCACAUCUUCCUGAAGUCAAUACCGAAUACCAUCUACCUUUACUAUCAGCAUCCGCCGAUUGGUAAAAGAAAUGGGUAGAAGAAAUUGGAGCAGCAACAUCUCGAUAACGUGCAGCGGUUGAGCUACGAACAAGAGAUUUGACGGAGCGCUUCGAAAGCCGAUGCAUUUGGUCUCACUGAAACAGAGUAUUCCACAAGUAACGGAGGAGAGGAGAAG